GAUGAACGCUAGCGGCAGGCCUAAUACAUGCAAGUCGAACGGUGUCUUCGGACGUAGUGGCGCACGGGUGCGUAACACGUAUGCAACCUACCUUACAUUGGGGGAUAGCCUUUCGAAAGGGAGAUUAAUACCGCAUAAGACAGUAGCUGGGCAUCCAGCAGCUGUUAAAGAUUUAUCGAUGUAAGCUGGGCAUGCGUCCAAUUAGCUAGUUGGUGAGGUAACGGCUCACCAAGGCAAUGAUUGGUAGGGGAGCUGAGAGGUCAAUCCCCCACACUGACACGGAGAUACGGACCAGACGCCUACGGGAGGCAGCAGUAGGGAAUAUUGGGCAAUGAACGCAAGUCUGACCCAGCCAUGCCGCGUGCAGGAUGAAGGCGUUAUGCGUUGUAAACUGCUUUUAUACAGGAAGAAACGACUCUUGCGAGAGGCAUUGACGGUACUGUAUGAAUAAGCACCGGCUAACUCCGUGCCAGCCGCCGCCGUAAUAC
rnacentral:rRNA from 1 species